UUGUCUCAAAGAUUAAGCCAUGCAUGUCUCAGUACAAGCCGAAUUAAGGUGAAACCGCGAAAGGCUCAUUAAAUCAGUUAUGGUUCCUUAGAUCGUACCCACAUUUACUUGGAUAACUGUGGUAAUUCUAGAGCUAAUACAUGCAAACAGAGCUCCGACCGGAGACGGAAGGAGCGCUUUUAUUAGAUCAAAACCAAUCGGUGGCGGUUUCCGUCAUCGUACAACUUGGUGACUCUGAAUAACUUUACGCUGAUCGCACGGUCUCGCACCGGCGACGCAUCUUUCAAAUGUCUGCCUUAUCAACUGUCGAUGGUAGGUUCUGCGCCUACCAUGGUUGUAACGGGUAACGGGGAAUCAGGGUUCGAUUCCGGAGAGGGAGCCUGAGAAACGGCUACCACAUCCAAGGAAGGCAGCAGGCGCGCAAAUUACCCACUCCCGGCACGGGGAGGUAGUGACGAAAAAUAACGAUACGGGACUCAUCCGAGGCCCCGUAAUCGGAAUGAGUACACUCUAAACCCUUUAACGAGGAUCAAUUGGAGGGCAAGUCUGGUGCCAGCAGCCGCGGUAAUUCCAGCUCCAAUAGCGUAUAUUAAAGUUGUUGCGGUUAAAAAGCUCGUAGUCGAAUCUGUGUCCCGCGCCGCCGGUUCAUCGUUCGCGGUGUUAACUGGCGUGCCGCGGGACGUCCUGCCGGUGGGCUUAGCUCGCGAGAGCGGCCCAACUCAAUCCCGCCGCGGUGCUCUUCAUUGAGUGUCGAGGUGGGCCGGCACGUUUACUUUGAACAAAUUAGAGUGCUUAAAGCAGGCUAAAACUUCGCCUGAAUACUGUGUGCAUGGAAUAAUGGAAUAGGACCUCGGUUCUAUUUUGUUGGUUUUCGGAACCCCGAGGUAAUGAUUAAUAGGAACGGAUGGGGGCAUUCGUAUUGCGACGUUAGAGGUGAAAUUCUUGGAUCGUCGCAAGACGGACAGAAGCGAAAGCAUUUGCCAAAAACGCUUUCAUUGAUCAAGAACGAAAGUUAGAGGUUCGAAGGCGAUCAGAUACCGCCCUAGUUCUAACCAUAAACGAUGCCAGCUAGCGAUCCGCCGACGUUCCUCCGAUGACUCGGCGGGCAGCUUCCGGGAAACCAAAGCUUUUGGGUUCCGGGGGAAGUAUGGUUGCAAAGCUGAAACUUAAAGGAAUUGACGGAAGGGCACCACCAGGAGUGGAGCCUGCGGCUUAAUU
rnacentral:rRNA from 1 species